GGUUAAGCGACUAAGCGUACACGGUGGAUGCCCUGGCAGUCAGAGGCGAUGAAGGACGUGCUAAUCUGCGAUAAGCGUCGGUAAGGUGAUAUGAACCGUUAUAACCGGCGAUUUCCGAAUGGGGAAACCCAGUGUGAUUCGUCACACUAUCAUUAACUGAAUCCAUAGGUUAAUGAGGCGAACCGGGGGAACUGAAACAUCUAAGUACCCCGAGGAAAAGAAAUCAACCGAGAUUCCCCCAGUAGCGGCGAGCGAACGGGGAGCAGCCCAGAGCCUGAAUCAGUGUGUGUGUUAGUGGAAGCGUCUGGAAAGGCGCGCGAUACAGGGUGACAGCCCCGUACACAAAAAUGCACAUACUGUGAGCUCGAUGAGUAGGGCGGGACACGUGGUAUCCUGUCUGAAUAUGGGGGGACCAUCCUCCAAGGCUAAAUACUCCUGACUGACCGAUAGUGAACCAGUACCGUGAGGGAAAGGCGAAAAGAACCCCGGCGAGGGGAGUGAAAAAGAACCUGAAACCGUGUACGUACAAGCAGUGGGAGCCUCUUAAUGGGGUGACUGCGUACCUUUUGUAUAAUGGGUCAGCGACUUAUAUUCUGUAGCAAGGUUAACCGAAUAGGGGAGCCGAAGGGAAACCGAGUCUUAACUGGGCGUUAAGUUGCAGGGUAUAGACCCGAAACCCGGUGAUCUAGCCAUGGGCAGGUUGAAGGUUGGGUAACACUAACUGGAGGACCGAACCGACUAAUGUUGAAAAAUUAGCGGAUGACUUGUGGCUGGGGGUGAAAGGCCAAUCAAACCGGGAGAUAGCUGGUUCUCCCCGAAAGCUAUUUAGGUAGCGCCUCGUGAAUUCAUCUCCGGGGGUAGAGCACUGUUUCGGCAAGGGGGUCAUCCCGACUUACCAACCCGAUGCAAACUGCGAAUACCGGAGAAUGUUAUCACGGGAGACACACGGCGGGUGCUAACGUCCGUCGUGAA
rnacentral:rRNA from 1 species